UACGUAGGGGGCUAGCGUUGUCCGGGAUCAUUGGGCGUAAAGAGCGUGUAGGCGGCCCGGUAAGUCCGCUGUGAAAGUCGGGGGCUCAACCCUCGAAAGCCGGUGGAUACUGUCGGGCUAGAGUGCGGAAGAGGCGAGUGGAAUUCCUGGUGUAGCGGUGAAAUGCGCAGAUAUUGGGAAGAACACCUGAGGCGAAGGCGGGUUGCUGGGCCGACACUGACGCUGAGUGCGCGAAAGCCAGGGGAGCGAACGGG
rnacentral:rRNA from 1 species